AACAUGGUGAAACCCCAUCUCUACUAAAAAUACAAAAAUUAGCAGGGUGUGGUGGCGCACAUCUGUAAUUGGAGCUACUCAGGUGGCGGAGGUAUGAGAAUCAUUUGAACUGGGGAGGCAGAGGUUGCAGUGAGCUGAGAUGACGCCACAGAACUCUAGCCUGGGCAACAGAAAGAGACUAUCUCAAAAAAA